CUUUUAGUGUGCGACACAUAACAGAACUAAAUCAAAACAUCUGAAAUGACCCUUCGAGCCUGAGGCGAUUAUUGUGGUUUUAGAUUAAGAGAAUGACGUCGGUAAAUUGUUUAAGAGAUUUUGUGAACGAGCGACUAACAGCGGCAGCCGAAGAAAUUGUUAAAGUCUUUGAAAAAACGAUCGCCGAUUAUGAGAAAGAGAUCAACCGUCAGCGAAGGCUGCUGGCUGUCGUCUGCAAGCCUCGAGUAAAGUUACACCGUACAGAGGUCCCAAAAGCUUUUUUUCAUCAUCAUGUGAGUGGGGGGCAGACGGAGGUGCAGGCUUGUAUCCAGAGGAAGAACUGUGAUUUGGACCAACAGGACUCAGAAUCUCAACAGGUUAAUGAUGACCAUGAAGACCUCUGCACCAGUCUGGAUAAAGAUCUAAAUCAUAAGACAGAUCCCAUUAUCCUGGCUGCCAAAUGUGAUGAGAACGCCAAUCAAACUGUCUCCUUAAAUCCCGUCAAACCUACAGAGUCCACAGACGCCAUCCCGGCCCAAAGGUGUGACGUUUUAGAGUGGAGGGAGUCCUGUUUACCUGAAAGCCACGAUCAAACAGGAACCACAGCUGAGAACCUGGAACCACCUGAAAGCUCAGAGAAAAAACAAAGCAGGAGACGUCUGAAAACCGGUGAAGAUCACACUCCUCCCCUGUUAAGAACUCCCUUUUUCAUUCGCACGGGCAAUGAGUGCGACUACAGGUGUGAAACGUGUGGCAAAGCCUUUCCAUACAAGUCCAAACUGAUUCGACACCAGAGGAUCCACACAGGUGUGAAGCCCUACUGCUGCAACAUCUGCGGCAAACGCUUCAACCAGACGUCCAUACUGAAGGUUCACCUCCGGAUCCACACGGGCGAGCGGCCUUACUCCUGCGACACCUGCGGGAAGAGAUUCAACCAGAAGUCCAUCCUGAAUGUGCACAAAAAGAUUCACUCCGUGGAGCGGCCGUACGCCUGCGACGCCUGCGGCAAAAGGUUCUUUCAGAAAGCCAGUAUGGAGGCUCAUGUCAUCUGGCACACAGAGCUGCCAGCACCUUUGUGCAAAGAGGAGGGUGUUUUGGAUGAGCAGCAGAGGAGUAUCAGUUUGGCUCAGAGUGAAUUCCAGUUUCCUCAGAUUAAAGAGGAACAGGAGGAGCUCUACAUCAGUCAGCACGGACAGCCGCUAGAGCUAAAACAGGACCCGGAUGCGCUUGUGCUGUCUUUAUCGCGUGGUAACGAUUACCACGACGGCACUGAAACUCUCUACCUGCAUCCCGGUGAGCUUCCAAGUUCAGGAAAGUCCAUAGAUAAGUCCGAUUACAGAGCAGACAGGCAGGCGCUUGCGUCAAAACCUCCUUUCGCCGCUGCAUACAUGACUGAAAAACAUGAGUAUAAAUGCGACACUUGUGGGAAAGUAUUUCAGUUCAGGUCGAGGCUGGUUCGACACAUGAGAAUCCACACCGGCGUGAAGCCGUUCUGCUGCCACACCUGCGGAAAGAGGUUCAACCAGAAAUCCAUAUUGAUCGUCCAUCAAAGGAUCCACACGGGCGAAAGGCCUUACUCCUGCGACGUCUGCGGGAAAACGUUUAACCAGACCUCCAUCUUGAACGUUCACAAGAGGAUCCACACCGGCGAGAGGCCGUACUGCUGCGAAACCUGCGGCAAGAGCUUCACCCAGAAGUCCAUACUGAACGGACACAAGAUCAUUCACACCAGAGAGACCCUCCUCCUGCAAAACAUGCGGCAAAAGCCUCAGAAAAUUUUACAUAAUUACUUUUUCAAACAUGUAUCCAGCCCAGAGCAUGCGCAACUUUGUCUGUGAUCGCUUAACUGCGGCUGCGCGGGAAAUAGUGGGGGCUUUUGAAAAGAGAAUUGAGGAUUAUGAGGCAGAAAUCGCUCGCCAGCGCAGAAUGUUGGACACGGUUUUUACACCUGAGCCAAAGUUUCACAGGUCAGAGAAAGAUCUCCCCAGUAAGGAGGGUAAGGUGGUCCAGAACCAACAGAACCUCGGUUCUCCAGAGGAAGACUCCAGACUUUCAUCACAAAUCACCCAGAUCAAAGAUGAACAUGAAGAAAUCUGCAUCAGUCAGGAGCCAUCAAGGCAAACGCAGCCCUCCAGCUCAACUCCAACACCCGCUCCUGAUGUCUCAGAAGAUCAGCACCGGCCCUCGGAGUCAAACCAAUCAGAGACUAUAGAACCUGGAGAAUUUCCGUCCAUCAGCUCAGAAAAAGAUGCAGAACCUCAAGCAGACAGGGAGAGUUCUGCAAGGUCAACAGCAGAGGAUGAUCUGGAAGGACUUUCCAAAACCAAUGAUAGAUCUGAGAACGAGGACCGCACAGCCUUUACCGAUGGAUGUGAAACAGCAACUGGAGACGUGGAGGCCAAUCCAGAUGAGGAGAUGCCGGAUGUGAGCUCACUGUCGGCUGCAAGUACUGAGCAAACGCUAGAGAAGAAGAUAAACCAAGAAGACAUAACGCUAUCUUUGGAUCAGAGCUGUACAAACGUAUCACCUAAUGACAGCGAUGAGAUCACGCAGCAGGAGGAAACAAACACAGAACCGGCACCAACACCAUCCAGCUUUGAAGAGGAGACAGGUAGAGGCCACGCUGAGACCCCGGACGGGGCGCAGAGCCGCCGGGAUGAAGGUUCUGUCUCAACGGGGGCUGAUGAGGAUCAAACAAUCAAAGGAAGUGAAGCGUCAGCAGGACCUGAUGAACGUCAGAAUGGAAGUCCAGAAAAUAUCAAGGAAUCACUGAAAGAUGCGAAGCAGACCUCACCUGAAAAUGUAGAGCAAACUUCACAACCAGACGAAGCAACAGGUUUUAUACCGACUGAGGAAAACGAACAUGGAAGACCAGAGAAGAGCACUGAUGAGCACGGAGCGUCCGCCACGCCUACGGAGAAGAGUCCAAAAGCUGACCAAAACACUGCCACAUCGCCAAAGAAAAGGGAAUGUUCACCGAAUAAAACCAACGCUCGUUCUGAUCCAGCAGCAAGGAGGCGGCUCAGAGAGGCAAAAACGGCACAGAGUAGAGCCAUGGAAACGAGACGACACCAGAGGCGCGGGGAGAAGAUGGGACCACAUGGAGACACAGCACCUGACUCCUCACAGUCUGCCGACAGACCAUCAAACAACCCCACAGCAGCGCCAGAACCGAGCUGUGGCGGGGACCGAGGCACAGAUCUGACUGCAAACAGGAAGUCCUGCAAAGAGAAGACGAGUUCAAGCUCAAAGUCAGGCAAAAAGAGGAGGCACAGCCACGAGGAAAUAAGUCUUUCUGAGCUGCCACAGGAGAGUUGCUGUGACGCCGAAGCGAAGGCGACUUCAAAACCAAAAACAAAUGCAGGCAGCAGUCCAGCUGAAAGCAGCCAAUCGAAAGCAAGCAAGAGGCCCAGCAGUGAAAAUAAAUCUUCAAGGAGCAAGAAGGAGCAGCUGCAGAAGAGACCAAAUGGUGGCAGUUCUGACCCAAAGCAGAAAAGACAGAAGGAGGGAAAUCCUCCAAUGUCCAGGAGGUCCGAGGCGGAAAAGCUACAGAGAAAAGAGAAGUCCAAAUCACGCGACAGGAGCGAUCUGGGCACAUCCAGCGACUGCGCUGAAGAGAACGUGGAGAACCCGUACAAGUGCGACACGUGCGGCAAAGUGAUGAGCAAUUUCAAAAACUACAAAUUCCACAUGAAGUCCCACACGGUUGAGAAAAGCUACAAGUGCGAAACCUGCGGGAAAAUGUUCCGGGAGAGCUGGGAUUUGAACAAGCACUUGGUCAUUCACGCCACGGAAAAGCCUUACAAAUGCGAAAUCUGCGGGAACGGUUUCAACCGUCGCUACAACCUGGACUUGCACCAGCGGGUGCACACGGGCGAGAAGCCCUACAAAUGCACCGUGUGCGCGAAAAGCUUCAGCUCCUGCGUGAACCUGAAGAAACACCAGCGCGUGCACACGGGCGAGAAGCCCUACACCUGCAAAGACUGCGGAAAAGAGUUCGCCGACUCCUCCGCGUUCAAAAACCAUCAGCGCGUGCACACGGGGGAGAAGCCCUUCAAGUGCACGCUCUGCAAAAGGAAGUUUGCCACCAGGACGACGCUGAAGAGGCACAACAGGACGCACACAGGGGAGAAGCCGUACGAGUGCCACGUCUGCAACAAAAAGUUUGGCCACAAGUCGGACCUGAAGGGACACUUGAGGCUGCACACGGGCGAGAAGCCCUACGAGUGCAGCCUCUGCCAGGAGAAGUUCUCCACCUGGCUAAAACUCCACAAACACAAGCGUGUGCACACAAAAGCAGCAGGAGAACCAAGCUCCAGCGAUUGAUUAGGCAUUUGUGUCAUGAAACAUGGGAUUUGCAAUAAUGGUUUCAGUCUUACUGUGAAAUUAGAAUCAGAAACGCUGUAUUGAUCCCACAUGUGGGAAAUUUGUUUGUUACCGUAGCAGUAAAAGAAGAAUAGUAGACAUAAGAGAAAAUAGAAUGUAAAGAAAAUCCAAAAUAAUGUAACAUGAAUGUAAACAAAUAAGGUCGUAUGAUUUAAAAAAAAAAGCUAUUUACAGACAGUACAAACAAGGAUAUGCAAAAAUGUGCAGAAAAGAAAAAUGUGCAGAUGUUAUCUGCUACACUGUGAAUUGUUGUACAGUGUUGUUGUGUUUGGUAGGAAGGAUUUCCGGUUUGAGCCUCCUAGAGAAGGAGCUCCGCUGUUUGUCCAGAACAGGGUGGAGAGGACGGUCUGGGUUGUCCGUGAUGCAGGGGUGUCAAACUCAUUUUCGCCACAUCAGCAUAGUGGUUGUCCUCAAAGGGCCUGAUAUAACUUAGACAUGGAACUUCAUGUAAUGAAAUAUAAACAUAAUUACUCCUUAAUGUUAAAUAAAUCAUUAUUUAUUUAUUAUAACUUUUUAAAGUGACAAUUACAGUUGCAUAGAAAACACAUGUUUGCUUGUUACUCUAGCAGAAAUACUUUUAAAUUUGAUUCUGUCAGGUUAGGUUAUAUGGACAGUUUUUAAGUCCUAACGCACAGUUGCCCGAUCCAAUAUUUCAUGUCCGAUUCCCCCCAGAUAUGAAUAAAUACACACCAAUUUGAUAUUUUAAGAAAUUAAAAACUUUUAUGCUCUCACGGGCCACAGAAAAUGACAUGGAGGGCCACAUUUGAGUUUGACACAUGUGCCAUAAUGGAUAAGAUCUUGUUCGGUGACCUCCUCUCCAUCACUGCUGAGUCCAAUGACAGAACCCGCCUUCCUGAUCAGCUUCCUCAGUCUGUUGGCGUCGCUGACGCUGCAAUGCUGCUUCCCCAGCAGACCACAGAGGAGAACAAGGUCGGCCACCACGGACUGCUGGAAGAUCUCCAGCAUCUUGCUGCACAUGUUAAAGGACCUCAGCUUCCUUAGGAAGUAGAGUCUGCUGCAGGCCUUUUUGUAAAACAGCAGUACUGUGGCUCCUCCAGCUCAGUUUGCUGUUGAUAGUCACUCCCAGGUAUUUGUACGUACGAAAUUAAAUCAAAGGGACCAAAUGAUCUAUUUUAAGUUCAGCUAUCUGACUUUAUUUUUCUAUUUCCAGCUUUUAAAAACUUCAAAGACUCAGAAAAUUGUAUUUUCAUGACAAAUAUUUAGGUAAGUUUAAUGGUUUACCCACAAUAAUGUACUUUUCUUUAUGAUUUUUCAACAUCUUGUCUUUAUUUUCAUGAAUUAUUGAUGGGAUUUCUGAACGACUUGUCUCUGGUUUCCUUUUUCAUGUCUUGCUUGGCUUUUGGGCAUUUGACAAAUGCAAACAGCUUUGUGAGGAGAAUAAAAGGGACGUUUUAAAACA